AUGAAGGUCGACACAUUCAUUAGAAGAACAAUAUAAACAAAAUACCAACAAAAAAAAACAGCCCUGUAGCUACAAAAUAUGACAGAUUAUUGUUGUAACUCACUUGGAUGAUGACCUAUAAUCAGUUAAUAGCUGAUUUUGAACAGUUGCUGUAAAAUGUUUUAAUACACCGAAUAUUGUUGCCGUGCUCCUAAUGUUGUUUAUCAGAAACAGAACCAUGCCAUUAAACGCAUCGUUCAGUGUUCAGGAUGACUGACUUCCAUAAAUGAUGCGCAAAUCGUUGAUUAAGAUGGUAAACCGGAUUGUAGGAAUUUCGCUAUAUUUGGGUUGAUUGAUGUAAUUUACAUUUUAACAAGUUUGAUGUAAUCUUAAAAAAAUGUAUUUAUUUUUCUCAGGCAGAAGCUGCAUUAUUCAGAAGUUGAGACUAAACAGGGAAAGUCAUUUUUUUAGACAUUAAUAUGCAUACAGUGUAAUCAAUUUGGAAUGGAGACUUUUAAGUACACUUACUGAGAGGAGAUUGUGGGGAAAUUACUUUAUGGAGCUUAAUUCUUCACCAAGAGGAAAACUACGUAACGGCUUAAUCGUUGCUCUGAGGCACUGCGGCUUUAAUGCAGUAUUUUAAUUUCCAAGUGAAGAUUUCCUCUCACUGUAGAGUGCAGAGUUAGAUUUCUUUAAAGUCUGAUUCAUUGGAAGGACUGCUACUGACACAGGCGUAAAAGGAAUGUUCAUUUGUUGCACACAGGUAUAACAGCUUGUGGAUCCACAGAGAUGAUUGCAUUUACCUUUGAUGGUGGCUUCUUUCUCUGCCCAUUCAUGUCAAGACAACCUGUAUGAUCCCCAAAAUUGGAAAUAAAACCGCGCGCAUGUUCGGCUAGGCUACCCCAGAAGGUACAUCCUUUACACUGUGCAGAAGAAUUAGGCAGGGGAAAUCAGGCCCAUUUUUCUUGUUACCCAUUAAUCUAGUGAUGCCAGAUUAAUGCUGUUUUUUCAAUAGCAUGUAUUCAUGCAUCUCGAACAUGGGCUUUAUAAAAACGUAUAUGCAUAUCUGAAUAGUUGCACACACCUUUAUUCAUACUCAAAGCAUCCAAACGCAAUCUAUCCUUUGCACCACUAAAAAUUCACAUUUUCCAUCACAUUGAUGAUUUGCGUGCUGUAUUUUAAAUGGUUUGAUCAGGAUUUAGCAGAUCAGCUGCAAUCUACACAGUGAAAUAUUCAUAGAUACCCCCCCCCAAAAAAAAACAACAACUUUGAUGUCUACCCUUCUUAAAAACAUCAAUCAAUUGUUGUAUAGCUGGAAGAUAGCAGUAUCAAGCUCAGAACAAAAUGAAGAAGGCUUCUAAAUGUGGCAGUCUGUAACAACCGUAGCUAUAACAACCAUAAAGGAAACAGAACUGGCCAUAAAGAAGCAUAAGCAUAAAAGCUGCCACCAAACAAGAUGACCUCUGUGGUCGUCUAUUUCUGUCUGCAAAAGUCAUAUGAGCAGCCCUUUCUUCUGUUCUGCCUGUGCGGUGCUGGGGACCACAAUCAAAGGCUGUUUUCACUUUAUAAAGCAAAGAUUCCCCUUGUCUUACUUUAUAAGGUAGACGAGUAAUAAAGCAAAUAAUUACAGCAUAAUGCAAGAAGCGAAUCUAAGUGAGAUGUCUUCAAUUUCCCUGCCCUUUCCCUGAUCGUAUUAUUCAGACAAUCUUCCCUUUCCAUUCACUUGCAAAUCUGCAGUUCAUUUAUUGGAGCCCACACAAUGCAAGGGUUCUCUGCCAUGCUUAUCUCCGUGACUACAGACAGCACUGCUGACAUUUUUCUCCAGCGGCAGGUGGUUACAGAAUACUGCGUUUUCCCCUUUCAGGUAUGAAGGAGGAGGAUCAAUCCUGGAAUAUGUGCUGCAUCUUUUUUUUAUUUUUUUUAGUUAAACCUUUUUGGAGAUAUGCAGAAUGGCAAUGUUGAUGUCACCUGCCAUGGAAAAUCUAAAUGUACCUCUCCGCAUUGUUAUGAGCAAUAUGAAAAUGCAGUCGGUUUUGUACGUUCAUCUGGUGCUCCUGUUGUCAUACGUUAUCUUGUGAGAACCAGUCCAGUCUGAUAUUCUGGAGGGAACAAUGCUUUUUAGACAGGCUACUCAGGCUACAUUGUACUUUAAGAAGUUCAAAUUGAAGGUCAUUCACUUCUUUUCCGAAGGGUCAGUUCGGGGUCAAGACACCUCUGAGAGGUCUUGCCUUCCGUAUGGUAAUGUUCUCUCCGAUAUAUUUAUACAUUGGACUAAACAUUGUGGAAUCAGAUUUUGAGAAUGCCGUUGCUGUGCUCUGGACGACAGCAUCUGAUUUACAUAUUUUUCAUAUUUGGCGCUUCUUCCUGUUAUUGUUGUUCUGGAUGGCACUGGAAUGAACCGUGUUUACACAGCAGGCUGGUUUUUAUUUCCAGGUCCGUGGUGAUGCAACAUCUGUGCUUCCCUGGCGUGUUGGGCAUGCCAGCGGCUGUAAAGAUAACACCGUUUCUGAGUGAACGUGUCUAACAGGAUGUAUACAGCUGGGAGAUUCAACUGUCUGGAGACACCCCCAUAACAACGGAAUUUCUGCCAAGGACCUCCCUGGUACAUCCCUGUCCUCCCUCCCCUAGGAAGCGUGUUCCUGGAGCCCAGAUCAGAACGUGUUUCUGAAUCCGAUUCAUUCCAAGAGACAAGAGUGGGACCAGAAGGCAGAUGCUCGACUCACCCUGAAGAGGAGGGAAGGGGAGGGGGGGGCAUUUUAGUUUGUUGUUGUCGUUGGUGUUGUUUUCGUUAAUUUUAUUCUCUUGCCCCAAAAUAACUUCUCCCGACAUUGGCAGUUACAUCAGCAGUCUGUGUCAUCGCUGAUCUGUGAAGUCCUCUGGCAGGAGUGAGGGUCUGGUGACUGUAUGCUGACAGCGGUGUGGAGCUGCCCCCCUGGCCUGCUGUGAACUGUGGUGUUACAUCACUCUGCAUUUCCUUCUGUCAGUUAUAAGUGUGGAGGAUAAGCAAGCCAUUCGUGUCCGACCUUUUGUUUUGCUGAAAAUCUUUGCAUGGAGAGAAUUCUUAAUUCCCUCGUUGUGCUAUCGCUCUAAUUAGUACGCACUGUGAUGAAUCUUAAGGGAACUGGCUGUUGGUCUACUGAAGGCAAAUCAGACUAACAUUUACUCCUGUAAUCCCUUGCCAUUGGCUACGGUGUCUCAGAAGGAUAAAAACACAUGGAGAUUUAUACACUG